CUUCUGCUGCUGCUGCUGGUGCAGCUGCGGCUGCAGCGGCGCCUCCAGCUGGCACACGCACCACACUACACCCACGGGAGCGAAGGUGUACCAGCCUGUCCUC